UACACAUAUACGAAUACAUGCGUAAAAUAAAAAAAAGGAAAAAUAUCGAUACGCAAAAAAAUGUAUAUUCUAAACCGUGUAUAUAUAUACACAGAUAUGCAGACACACUAAGAAAAAAAAAACACGUAUUAAUAUAGAGAAACACGAAGAUUCUCUUUCGUACGUACAUACAUAUGUUUCAUCUUCGUAUUCUGCUGCUCGCAGUGAAUCGCUUCGUUUCACACAUUUUUUACGCGCCAAAGCGGAGUGUCUUUUUGCGAAAAGAAUGAUAGAUAGGAAGAAUGAAAUAAUAAAUUGUGAAUGAGGCGAGAAAAGGAGAAGGUGAGAGGAGAAGGUUAGUAGGAGAAAGUGAAAAAGGAGGAGGAGGAGAGUAAUUAAAGAAGAAAUCACGUAAGACAGAUUUAUAUGAAUUAAUUAGCAUUGCGACGAAGGCUUAUGAUCGAUCGAGAGAGAGAGAGAGAGAGAGAGAGAGAGAGAGAGUGAGAGUGAGAGAGUGAGAGUGAGAGAGUGAGAGAGAGAGAGAGACAAAAAGAGGACUUAUCGUCUCUAACGAUCUAUCACAUAUGUACGAUCUAUCGGAUUGAGGAUGAAUAUUCUUUUUCUUUUUCUCUUCCUUUUUUUCUCGGGAUUAUUGCGACGAUCUUUUCGACAAUUAUUAUUGACCAUCAUUUUCGUCUCGACGUAAAUAAUAUACAUAUGCAUAUUGUAAACACACAUAUUACGACGACAACGAUCUAUUCGAGCGAAGUGCGUAAUGAGUAUGGGUUUCCCGAUAAAAUUGUGCAUUCGUUAAUUGUAAUUAUAUUGCCGAAAGAAAGAAAGGAAGGAAGGGAUGGAGGGAGGAAGGAAGGAAGGAAGGAGGGAGGAAGGAAGAAGCGUUUCAUUCAAAAGUAUUUGUGCGAGAUGUGAAAAAAUGAAUGGGUAAAAAAAGUUUUAGGAACGAGGAAAAGGAUCGAUCAUUACAAUGGGAGGAGUAGAAUGCGGAUAGGCCGGGGGAUUGUGAGAAGGGGGACGGGGCAUGGGUCGAGGUAAAGAAGGAAAAAAUGAAAUCGUGUUGUGUCAUGAGGUACGAGGAAAAAAAUGUUUUCUAGCUUUUUAAGUGUAGAUCUUAUAUAGAAAUGCGAUUCUCACACAUUGUUAUCAUCUCUAAACGGGGCCCAACGAUAAUGAUUUGUACAGCCGCGUGCCCCGAGAGAUUAAACAUAUUUGAGUUAUCAUAUCGAUUGUUCGACGUCGUUAAGAAUUAUCGUGUUAUGUUUUGUAUUUUUCUCAAAAGCUUCUCUUUCUUCUUCUUCUUCUUUUUCUUCUUCUUCUUCUUCUUCUUCUCCUCCUCUUCUUCUCCCUCCUUCUUUUUGAUUAGUCUACUUUGUCUAUAAUUCUAUUUUUAUUUCUUUAUUACUACUUUUUCUUCCUCUUUAUCUUCUUCAUUUCUUUUUCCUCUUCUUCAUUAUCUUUAUUUUCUUCUUCUUCUUUGACGAUGACUUUCUAUCUGCUUUACUCUGAUCGUUUAUUUUCUUUUUUGUUCUUCUUUCCUUUUCUUAUCUCCUCUUUCUUUCUUUUUUUAAAUAAUUUUUCUCCCCUUUCUCUUUUAUCGUCUUCUCGUCUCCCACAUUUUCCAUUCCUUUUUAUUCUUUCGAUAUAUAUUAUAUUUGCUAAGAAGAAGAGGAGUAUCACGAUGGAAAAGAAAAGAAAAGAAAAACAAAGCGAAGUGUGUAACGCAUACUUUCUAUAUUUUUGCUACUAAUAUCGAGGGCAUUAUAUUUUUUAUUGAAAAUAAAUCGGAGAUAUAAUGUCGUGAUCUUUGCGUUGUCCAGAAGGGAGAAUGGGGAAGGUGUGGGGAUGUGUUGUGUGAGAAGGGGGAUU